rnacentral:rRNA from 1 species
ACGGGUGAGUAACACGUGGGCAACCUACCUUAUCGACUGGGAUAACUCCGGGAAACCGGGGCUAAUACCGGAUAACAUCUAGCACCUCCUGGUGCCGGAUUAAAAGAGGGCUUCUUGCUCUCACGAUGAGAUGGGCCCGCGGCGCAUUAGCUAGUUGGAGAGGUAACGGCUCCCCAAGGCGACGAUGCGUAGCCGACCUGAGAGGGUGAUCGGCCACACUGGGACUGAGACACGGCCCAGACUCCUACGGGAGGCAGCAGUAGGGAAUCUUCCGCAAUGGACGAAAGUCUGACGGAGCAACGCCGCGUGAGUGAUGAAGGGUUUCGGCUCGUAAAGCUCUGUUAUGAGGGAAGAACACGUACCGUUCGAAUAGGGCGGUACCUUGACGGUACCUCAUCAGAAAGCCACGGCUAACUACGUGCCAGCAGCCGCGGUAAUACGUAGGUGGCAAGCGUUGUCCGGAAUUAUUGGGCGUAAAGCGCGCGCAGGCGGCCUUUUAAGUCUGAUGUGAAAUCUUGCGGCUCAACCGCAAGCGGCCAUUGGAAACUGGGAGGCUUGAGUACAGAAGAGGAGAGUGGAAUU